rnacentral:rRNA from 1 species
CCUACGGGGGGCAGCAGUGAGGAAUAUUGGUCAAUGGACGCAAGUCUGAACCAGCCAUGCCGCGUGCAGGAAGACGGCUCUAUGAGUUGUAAACUGCUUUUGUACGAGGGUAAACGCAGAUACGCGUAUCUGUCUGAAAGUAUCGUACGAAUAAGGAUCGGCUAAAUCCGUGCCAGCAGCCGCGGUAAUACGGAGGAUUCAAGCGUUAUCCGGAUUUAUUGGGUUUAAAGGGUGCGUAGGCGGUCGGUUAAGUUAGAUGUGAAAUCCCGAGGAUCAACUUUGGAAUUGCCUCUGAUACUGUUCGGCUAGAGAGUAGUUGAGGUAGGCGGAAUGUAUGGUGUAGCGGUGAAAUGCUUAGAGAUCAUACAGAACACCGAUUGCGAAGGCAGCCUACCAAGCUACUUCUGACGUUGAGGCACGAAAGCGUGGGGAGCAAACAGGAUUAGAUACCCCAGUAGUC